CAGUAGCCACGGUAAUACGAAGGGUGCAAGCGUUACUCGGAAUUACUGGGCGUAAAGCGUGCGUAGGCGGCUUUUUAAGUCGGAUGUGAAAUCCCUGAGCUUAACUUAGGAAUUGCAUUCGAUACUGGGAAGCUAGAGUAUGGGAGAGGAUGGUAGAAUUCCAGGUGUAGCGGUGAAAUGCGUAGAGAUCUGGAGGAAUACCGAUGGCGAAGGCAGCCAUCUGGCCUAAUACUGACGCUGAGGUACGAAAGCAUGGGGAGCAAACAGGAUUAGAUACCCGGGUAGUCCCUGUCUCUUAUAA
rnacentral:rRNA from 1 species